rnacentral:siRNA from 1 species
CUCAUGUCCAACCCUCACUCA